AUUGAACGCUGGCGGCAGGCCUAACACAUGCAAGUCGAACGAGUGGCGGACGGGUGAGUAAUGUCUGGGAAUCUAGCCGAUGGAGGGGGAUAACUACGGGAAACGGUAGCUAAUACCGCGUACCAUAGGAUGAGCCCAAGUGGGAUUAGGUAGUUGGUGGGGUAAAGGCUCACCAAGGCGACGAUCUCUAGCUGGUCUGAGAGGAUGAUCAGCCACACUGGGACUGAGACACGGCCCAGACUCCUACGGGAGGCAGCAGUGGGGAAUAUUGCGCAAUGGGGGCAACCCUGACGCAGCCAUGCCGCGUGAAUGAAGAAGGCCUUAGGGUUGUAAAGUUCUUUCGGUAGCGAGGCGUUACCUACAGAAGAAGCACCGGCUAACUCCGUGCCAGCAGCCGCGGUAAUUC
rnacentral:rRNA from 1 species